UUUAAAAUCUACCUAAUAUUCAAACUAGUAAUUUUAAAUAUUAGUAUUUUUCUAUAAUGAAAUUAUAUUCUUUUAUUUUAUUACCUAUUUUUUUUUUCGUACUGAAACCAGACGAAGGAGUUCAUUGCAAUAUAUAUCAUGCCCAAUAUAAAAAAUAUAUCGAAAGAGUAGUGAGUUGCAUUUAUUUACAAAUUAUAUACAAUCAAAAACAAAAUUCAAAUGGUGAAGAGGAAGCUUUCCAACAAUACACAGACCUGCGUGAAUUAAAAUUAAAAUAUAAUUAUACAAUAAGUGUACUAAAUUUCGAAUACACUAAAAUAAUAAAAAAAUUCCUUGAAUACUUGGCUAUUAUCAUCCGCAAAUGUCACCAAUGUCAUAAAAAUAAUUUGCCGGAAAAGUUUGUUAAAUGUGUAAUAUUACUUGAAGAUCAAAUAAAAAAUUCCAAGACUAUGUUUGAAAAUCUAUGCAAUGCUAUGAAGUUUAUAAGCUAUAUAGAUAUAAGGUUUUUGUUUUCUGGACGUACCGUACCGCAUGCUAUAAUUGAAGAAAUCGAUUUUAUAUAUCAAUUUGUCUUAGAAAUAAGUUUAGAGAACAGGUCUUUUGAUCUCAAUAAAUCACCAAAUGAAGAGUCUAAAAUAAAAUUUGAUAAUUUUAUUAAAUUUUAUAAAGAUACAUCUAUAAUAGUUAAAUGUCAUAUUGUAGAUAAUAAAUAUAUCGACCCUUCUAUAAAAACUCAUUUGGAAAAUAUUGAAAUUAUUAAAAGCUCUAAGAAAAAGAAUUCUUCCGAUGUUGAUUCGAAACCUCCUAAUGAGUUUUACAACGAAACUAUCAAUAUUUGGUACAAAAACUUAGGCUUUGAACAAUUUCUUGAACCCAUAAUAGCUGAAUUCAUACCUCCAAUUGAUCCAAAAACAAAUCAAAAUGAUGGAAUUAAAGCUCUCAAUGUUAUUCGUAAGGAACCUGGUUGGAAAUCAAUGAAUCACAUAAGUAUAGUUUAUUUUGGUAAACAAAUAAGUGUAGCUCGUAUAAUAAAUGAUGAAGUUAGUAACAUAAAUUUUCGAAUAAAAAAGGAACAUAUAACACAGUUUUUAAGAUGUAGGUAUACAGAAAUAAUUAAAGAAUAUCAUACAAUACUAUCUUCUAUAAUGCAUGUAUGUCAAAAUGAUUUACGUAACUUCUAUCACAAUUGUUUGAUUAAAUUAUUUAACUCAUUCAAGGAAUCCGAAAAAAUGAUCGAAGGAUUGUAUAAAGCUAUGGUUGCUUUAAAUAGAUCAUCAAUAUGGAGUGUUUAUUUGAGCUCUAAAUCAAGUUUACUUAAGGUUUUUCAAUGGGUCACUAUUAUUCUCAGUUUUUUGAAACACAAUAAUUUUAAUCUAGAUAAUUUUAUGGAUAAAUAUGAUAAUAAGAUAGCUAUUAUACUUAAUGAAAAAGAAACUGAAAUCAUUGAAAAACUUCUUGACAUUUUUAUUACAUUCUUAAAAGACAUUGGUGAACUAUUACGCAAUGAUGUGGCACAUCAGGGCACACGGUGUUAUACAAAUAAACGUUUAAAUAAAGUAUGGGAACAUACAAAAAGUGUUAUCAAUUCAUAUAAUACAUUGAAUAAUAAUAAUAAUCCAUAUCUUGGAUUAUUAUCAUACGCAUGUAGUUAUUUAGACAAAUUUUGUGCAGACGUUUAUAAAUCUUGUUAUGAAGAUUUGGGUUUCAAAAAAAUUUUAGACUGUCAACACAAAGAAUUACAUCAAGAUCUCAUUCCAUAUACUGUAGAUUUAUCUACAGUAGAUUUAUCAACAUAGUGUUCAAUGCAUAAUUAAGGCUAAUUAUAUUUUUAUUAUAAAAAAAUAAUUAUUUAUGAAAACAUGUAAAUAAUGUUCCAGUAAAAGUAGUGUAGAAUGAAAAGUCUCGAUGAUUCUACAAUAAUUGUAAAGCAAAAUUAAUCUAUUAUGCUAAACAAAUAUUACACAUAGUUGCACAAAACUAAAAAGAAAACAAUUUUCAAUUUUAUUGAAAUUUUUAAAAUAAACGGCAUUAAACAAUUUGUAAACUUUUUAAAUUUCACGUUACGUUUGCUCAAUUAUACAAGUUUUCUUGCCCUAUCUAAUAUAGUAACUUAGUUUCUUCAGUUUUUUGUGACUCAUUUAAUACAAGACUAAUAUAAGAAGAGUGACCUUUAAUUGACUAUAUUUUGCAUUUGUAAAGACUAUGCAAACCUAGUUACAUCCAGCUCCAUAGUUCCAAACGCAAGCAUUAGUGUUUUAGUUUUAGCAGAACAUCACAUUUUAUAAAAACUCAAAAUGUGUUGAGAAAAACUUCAUUAUACAAUUAUUAACUGAAUAGGAAUAUCGGAAUUUGACAAUAACAUAAUUUGAUUUUGUAAAAUAAAAUGUUAAAGAAAUCAUUGCUUAAUUGAUUAUUUCUACAAGAUUUGAAGACAUUUGAGUUCAUUGCAAUAUAUAUCAUGCCCAAUAUAAAAAAUAUAUCGAAAGAGUAGUGAGUUACAUUUAUUUACAAAUUAUAUACAAUCAAAAACAAAAUUCAAAUGGUGUAGAGGAAGCUUUCCAACAAUACACAGACCUGCGUGAAUUAAAAUUAAAAUAUAAUUAUGCAAUAAGUGUACUAAAUUUCGAAUACACUAAAAUAAUAAAAAAAUUCCUUGAAUACGUGGCUAUUAUCAUCCGCAAAUGUCACCAAUGUCAUAAAAAUAAUUUGCUGCAAAAGUUUGUUAGUUGUGUAAUAUUACUUGAAGAUCAAAUAAAAAAUUCCAAGACUAUGUUUGAAAAUCUACACAAUGCAAUGAAGUUCAUAAGCUACAUAGACAUAAGGUUUUUGUUUUUUGAAUUUGAAGUGCCGCAUACUAUAAUUGAAGAAAUCGAUUUUAUAUAUCAAUUUGUGUCAGAAAAAAAUUUAGAGAAUAGCCCUUUUGAUCUCAACAAAUCAUUUAAUCAAAUAUCUAAAAUAAAACUUAGGAAUUUUGUUAAAUUUCUGAAAGAUUCAACUAAAAUAGUGAACUCUCUUACUGAACAUAAUAAAUACAUAAACCCUUCUAUAAAAACUCAUUUGGAAAAUAUUGAAAUUAAUGAACGCUCUAAGAAAAAUAACUCUUCCGAUGUUUAUUCAAAACCCCCUAAUAAGUUUUACAACGAAACUAUCAAAAUUUGGUACAAAAACUUAGGCUUUGAAGAAUUUCUUGAACCCAUAGAAGCUGAAUUCAUACCUCCAAUUGAUCCAGAAACAAAUCAAAAUGAUGGAAUUAAAGCUCUCAAUAUUAUUCGUAAAGAAUCUGGUUGGGAAUCAAUGAAUCACAUAAUUAUAAUUUAUUAUGAAAAACUAUACACUGUAGAUUAUAUAAUGAAAGACGAAAUUAAUAAUAUAAAUUUUCGAAUAAAAAAAGAACAUGUAUCACAAUUAAUAAGAUGUAGAUAUAUAGAAAUAAUUAAAAAAUAUCGUACAUUAUUAUCUGCUAUAUUAUUUGUAUGCAAUAAAGAUGCAAACGAAUUUUACCAUAAUUGUUUGAUUAAAUUAUUUAGCUCAUUCAACGAAUCCAAAAAAAUGCUUGAAGGAUUAUAUGAAGCUUUAAUUACUUUAAAUAGAUCAUCAAUAUGGAGUGAUAAUUUUAGCUCUAAACUGAGUUUACAUAACAUUUUAAAAUGGGUUUCAGAUUUUCUCCGUUUAUUGAAGACCAAUAAUUUUUAUCAAAAAAGCUUUAUCAUUUUAAAUGAUAAAACAAAAACCGAAAUGGUUGAAAAACUUCUAGAAAUUUUUAUAAGCUAUUUUAACGACUUUAGUUCUGAAUUACAUAGCGAAAUUAGUAUAAUAAACACUCAAUGUCAUAUUAAUAAACCUUUUAAUAACGAAAUGGCUUAUAUAACAGAUUUUAAGAAUUCAAAAAAUAUAUCAAAUAAUUCAGAUUUACAACGGGAAUUACAAAUUAUUUAUAAUGCGUGUAAUUAUUUUGAAAAUUUUUGUAAAGAUGUUUACAAAUCUUGUUAUGAAGAUCUGGGUUUCAAAAAAGUUUCAGAAUUCCAAAACAAACCAUUAGACGACAAACUUAUCCCAUUUACCAAAGAUUUAUCAACUUAGUCAAUACUGAAUAUUAAAGGCUAAGAGCUUCAACAAGUUAAAUUUAAAAAGUAGAUUAAAAUAUCAUUUAUCAAUAAUUAAGAAUUAUUAUAUUUUGCAUGUAUAAUUUAAAAAAAUAUUUUUGUAAUUCAUAUUUUGCUUAACAUAUCUCUUAUUAUUUUUUUUAAUUAGCUGCAUUUAACACAGUCUUUACCUGCACACUUUCUACAAAAUAAUACUUAGAAUAGUUCACUAAGUAAAAAAAUAUAAUUUUAUAGUUAAUCGCGUUAAAAAUCAUUAGUAGUUUUUACAUUUGAAUCGGUUUUUUUAAAAAGGCCAUAUCUCCAUAAAAUUUUAUUUUUCUGGAAACGUAAAAAACUGUUUUUAAAGAUCAAAAUAAAUUUAGAUGAAAAUUGAAUAAGGGUUGAAUUAUUGAAUUCCCUUAUAAAAAACCAACUAUGAUAUAAUAUUGACUAUUUAUACCUAUUGGAUUAUUUUAUGAGGGAAUGAACGUGUUUUUCAUAUGGCCUUUUCCAAUGUAUUGUAAAUUUUCAUUGAUUAUGACCUCGCGACUCUGAUCAAUUGUUUAUUGUAUAUUAUCAUAUAAAAUUAAUUAAUUAGUCUUACAAAAUAUACUGUGCAUUCUUUGUAAUAAUUUUAUUUAUGAACUUCAACAUCACUUCUUUUUAGUUAAUUUUUUAUUUUAAUACCAAUCGUAGACUCAGUUUCGUUUUCGAAUUUACUCAAAUUGACUUAUUAUUAUUUUAUAUUCUUGAUAAUUACAAUAAUUAUUAUUGUUAUUAUCAACUGUUAUCGUCAACAGAUAGACAAUAAACCAGAUGAAAAUAGAAUUUUAACAAAUAAAAUUGCUGAUCAAGUUAUUUUUGGAGAAAUGGCCUUUUCGAAUGCACUUGUUAUUUUUAGACUAAACGAGUUGUUGGAGAUAUGACGGUUUCGCAGGAAUUAUGAAUUAUUAUUAAAUAUACACAUCUAUCACAUAAAAGCAGUUUUGAAAAAAUGUGGAGAAAUGGCCUUUUCGAAAUGACCGAUUCAUUUAAUAAAAUAGUGAUAUAAUGUUAUAUUAAAGUUUAUUUGAUUUUAUUAAAUAUAAUUAUAAUUAUACAAUUA